GUUUUCCCUGUGCAAGUGGUCCCUUGGGCUCCCUGUGGGGUCAGCUUCUGGGUGUCUUUGCCAGGGUCAGGAAGGCUGUUCUUCCAGGAAGGACUGCAAAGACCCUGGGAACCAGAGCAGCCCAGCUUACAAGUAUGAAGAGAAUGUCGGGAGAGGAAGUGGUGGCGAUGAGUCAGCCUGAGUCAUCUCGUUCCAAUGAGAAUGAAGGCAGAGUUUCAGACCAACGUUCCCAGCACGCUGCGCCUGAGCCAGUGUCUGCCUUCAGAACUUCACAGCACAGGUCCUGGAAGGUGGGGCUACCAGCUUCUCCCUGAAUAACUGGGAGAUGAAACAGGAAGCUCUAUGACACUCUUGAUCGAAAAUGACAGACAGAAAAAUCAGGACUCACCCCUUCCAGCGCCUCUGCCUGCUGAUCACAGCCAGAAUGCAGGUGAAGGGUUUUCCCUGGGACCUGGCCCUAGCUCCUGUGGACUCAAAGGACCUCCACAUUCUCUGAUGAUGUGUCUGCCAUGUCCUGGUUGUGGUCUGGUCUUGUCGGGUUCCCAUUUGUCUGGCCAGUGUUUAUGCAUCCUUAAUCGCUUCUUUUUCAUUAAAACAAAGGA